rnacentral:rRNA from 1 species
UACGUAGGGUGCAAGCGUUAAUCGGAAUUACUGGGCGUAAAGCGUGCGUAGACGGCUAUCUAAGUCGGGUGUGAAAGCCCCGGGCUCAACCUGGGAAUUGCAUUCGAGACUGAAUAGCUAGGGUACGGUAGAGGGAAGCGGAAUUUCCGGUGUAGCGGUGAAAUGCGUAGAUAUCGGAAGGAACAUCAGUGGCGAAGGCAGGUCUCUGGGCCACUACUGACGCUGAGAAGCGAAAGCAUGGGGAGCGAACAGG